AUGAACGCUGGCGGCGUGCCUAAUACAUGCAAGUAGAACGCUGAAGCUUGGUGCUUGCACCGAGCGGAUGAGUUGCGAACGGGUGAGUAACGCGUAGGUAACCUGCCUCUUAGCGGGGGAUAACUAUUGGAAACGAUAGCUAAUACCGCAUAAAAGUCGAUAUCGCAUGAUAUUGAUUUGAAAGGUGCAAAUGCAUCACUAAGAGGUGGACCUGCGUUGUAUUAGCUAGUUGGUGAGGUAACGGCUCACCAAGGCGACGAUACAUAGCCGACCUGAGAGGGUGAUCGGCCACACUGGGACUGAGACACGGCCCAGACUCCUACGGGAGGCAGCAGUAGGGAAUCUUCGGCAAUGGGGGCAACCCUGACCGAGCAACGCCGCGUGAGUGAAGAAGGUUUUCGGAUCGUAAAGCUCUGUUGUAAGAGAAGAACGAGUGUGAGAGUGGAAAGUUCACACUGUGACGGUAACUUACCAGAAAGGGACGGCUAACUACGUG
rnacentral:rRNA from 1 species